AUUGAACGCUGGCGGCAGGCCUAACACAUGCAAGUCGAACGGUAACAGGAAGCAGCUUGCCGCUUUGCUGACGAGUGGCGGACGGGUGAGUAAUGUCUGGGAAACUGCCUGAUGGAGGGGGAUAACUACUGGAAACGGUAGCUAAUACCGCAUAACGUCGCAAGACCAAAGAGGGGGACCUUCGGGCCUCUUGCCAUCGGAUGUGCCCAGAUGGGAUUAGCUAGUAGGUGGGGUAACGGCUCACCUAGGCGACGAUCCCUAGCUGGUCUGAGAGGAUGACCAGCCACACUGGAACUGAGACACGGUCCAGACUCCUACGGGAGGCAGCAGUGGGGAAUAUUGCACAAUGGGCGCAAGCCUGAUGCAGCCAUGCCGCGUGUAUGAAGAAGGCCUUCGGGUUGUAAAGUACUUUCAGCGGGGAGGAAGGGAGUAAAGUUAAUACCUUUGCUCAUUGACGUUACCCGCAGAAGAAGCACCGGCUAACUCCGUG
rnacentral:rRNA from 1 species